rnacentral:lncRNA from 1 species
GUUUAUAUACGUUAGUCCAGAGGUACCGACAUGGCCUGAAACUGUUGAGAAGAACGUAAGAACUAGCACGAGUAGUUUUCAGAAGAAGAUUUGAUGCUUAACCGGAGGAUCUGUUGGGUUUAUUAUUGUGUGAACUGACGGCGGUUUACAUGGAUGUUGGUGGAGGUGCAGCUGCAGGGGAGGCGAUUAAGCAGUCGCCGUCGAUGCCGACGACCCCGACCACGCCGGUGACGCCGUCGUCGUCCACGCCGCCGCGCGGCGGCAGCGUGUGGCGGAGCGUUUUCCACCCCGGGAGCAACCUGGCCACCAAGAGCCUCGGCGCCAACCUCUUCGACCGCCCGCAGCCCAACUCCCCCACCGUCUACGACUGGUACGUACGCUAGCUCAUGAUCUAUAUAUCUCACGGUACAAAAUCAGUUUUAGUAACACGAUCUACUGGGAACUUUAAACGGGUGAACAUGGCAAAUGAUAAUAACGCUGCCACGUACGUUUGAUGUCCAGGCUUUACAGCGACGAGACGAGGACAAGGAGCAACCACCGCUAAAUAAGAGCCGUCGGCCAGAGAACUGAAGGCAGGGUGCUCAACAACUUGUGCGACGCCGCCAUGUUUGCUGCUCUUUUGGUUAUCUAAUCCU